rnacentral:rRNA from 1 species
UACGUAGGGGGCGAGCGUUGUCCGGAUUUAUUGGGCGUAAAGAGCGUGUAGGCGGCUUUGCAAGUCCGUUGUGAAAACUCGAGGCUCAACCUCGAGACGCCGGUGGAAACUGCAAAGCUAGAGUCCGGAAGAGGAGAGUGGAAUUCCUGGUGUAGCGGUGAAAUGCGCAGAUAUCAGGAGGAACACCGGUGGCGAAGGCGGUUCUCUGGGAAUGACCUGACGCUGAGGAGCGAAAGUGUGGGGAGCGAACAGG